UCUAACACACACGCUAAGAGUUAACACAGACCCUUUAUUUUACUAAUUAAAACACACCCUACAAUUAUAAAUAUUUAUAGAACAUUAUCAAACACAAUUAAACAAAUCGUCUUCUGGAUAAAAAACCAAAUGGUCGGAAUAUGAUGGAAGAACCGCUGGAACUCAUAGAAGUGCAAGAGCUGUGGCGGCACGUGGGCUUCAGACGCCAUCACCACUGCCUGUACGUGAAUCCACGCGUUGCUGCCGCUGUUUUUCAUCACUGCCAUAGAAGGAGCAGAACCUGGUCGAUUGGAGUGGCGAUUUAGUUCAAACUUCUCGCUGCUGCCGUGUGGCUGGAGCGGGGCUGUUUCUUUUGGUGGUUGGCGAAGGAAAGAAGAGACAAUAGCGUGACAGUUGGAGGACAAUGUGGGUUAGCUUGGUUCAUGAUGAUGGGGACUGGUUUGGGUUGCUGGUGCUGCUGGAGUGGGACAUCUGCUGGAGGUUGAAGGGUCUCUUCGGGUUAAUGGGUCUUUGUUCUUUCAGGUGGAGGAGAUAGAGGCAUUGUUGUUGUUGUUGUUCAGUGUUGGUGAAGAUGAGUUUUUUUAGCUGAUGGUUGGUGUGAAUGAGGUGUCGCUGGCUGCUGGUCGUGGGGUGGAGCUGCUGGUGUUGGUGGGUCAAUUUGUGGUGGCUUCUGGUGGAUGAUCUGGUUUGGUAACGUGGUGGAGAAGAAUGGAUGGUUAGUGGUGGCUGGCGGUGCCGCCACAGGGAAGAGAGGAACGGGUGGAAGCUGCUGUGUUACCGUGUGGUGGGAUGGGAAGUAAUAAAAAAUCCAAGUAGCUUGUAUUUGAUAACAAGGUUUAUAUGAUGGAUAAGUGUUUAAUUUUUUGAUUUCAGUAAUUUGAUUUAUUUAUAUCUGCAAAAAAAAUAAAAAUUAAAUUGAAUUAUGACACUUAAA